rnacentral:rRNA from 1 species
GAUCCUGGCUCAGGAUGAACGCUGGCGGCGUGCCUAACACAUGCAAGUCGAGCGAAGCAUUUUAAGGGAAGUUUUCGGAUGGAAUUUGAAAUGACUGAGCGGCGGACGGGUGAAUAACGCGUGGGUAACCUGCCUCAUACAGGGGGAUAACAGUUAGAAAUGACUGCUAAUACCGCAUAAGCACACAGUACCGCAUGGUACAGUGUGAAAAACUCCGGUGGUAUGAGAUGGACCCGCGU